rnacentral:rRNA from 1 species
GUCUACGGCCAUGCUACCCUGAACAAGCCCGAUCUCAUCUGAUCCUGGAAGCUAACCAGGGUCGAGUCUGAUUAAUACUUGGAUGGGAGACCACCUAGGAAGACCAGGUGCUAUAGGCG